GCCUGAUGCAGCGACGCCGCGUGGGGGAUGACGGCCUUCGGGUUGUAAACCUCUUUCAGUCACGACGAAGCGCAAGUGACGGUAGUGACAGAAGAAGCACCGGCCAACUACGUGCCAGCAGCCGCGGUAAUACGUAGGGUGCAAGCGUUGUCCGGAAUUACUGGGCGUAAAGAGCUCGUAGGUGGUUUGUCACGUUGUCCGUGAAAACUCACAGCUUAACUGUGGGCGUGCGGGCGAUACGGGCAGACUAGAGUACUGCAGGGGAGACUGGAAUUCCUGGUGUAGCGGUGGAAUGCGCAGAUAUCAGGAGGAACACCGGUGGCGAAGGCGGGUCUCUGGGCAGUAACUGACGCUGAGGAGCGAAAGCGUGGGGAGCGAACAGGAUUAGAUACCCUGGUAGUCCACGCCGUAAACGGUGGGUACUAGGUGUGGGUUUCCUUCCUUGGGAUCCGUGCCGUAGCUAACGCAUUAAGUACCCCGCCUGGGGAGUACGGCCGCAAGGCUAAAACUCAAAGAAAUUGACGGGGGCCCGCACAAGCGGCGGAGCAUGUGGAUUAAUUCGAUGCAACGCGAAGAACCUUACCUGGGUUUGACAUGCACAGGACGCCGGCAGAGAUGUCGGUUCCCUUGUGGCC
rnacentral:rRNA from 1 species